rnacentral:rRNA from 1 species
AAUGAACGCUGGCGGCAUGCCUAACACAUGCAAGUCGAACGCCUGUAGCAAUACAGGAGUGGCAGACGGGUGCAAAACGCGUGGAAACCUAUCCUUGGGUUCGGAAUAACCGCGAGAAACUGCGGCUAAUACCGGAUACGUCCUUCGGGAGAAAGAUUUAUCGCCCAUUGAGGGGUCCGCGUCUGAUUAGCUAGUUGGUGAGGUAAUGGCUCACCAAGGCGACGAUCAGUAGCUGGUCUGAGAGGAUGAUCAGCCACACUGGAACUGAGACACGGUCCAGACUCCUACGGGAGGCAGCAGUGGGGAAUGUUGGACAAUGGGCGCAAGCCUGAUCCAGCAAUGCCGCGUGGGUGAUGAAGGCCUUCGGGUUGUAAAGCCCUUUUGGCGGGGACGAUGAUGACGGUACCCGCCGAAUAAGCUCCGGCUAACUUCGUGCCAGCCGCCGCCGUAACAC